GGCGGCGUGCCUAACACAUGCAAGUCGUACGAGAAAGUUGGCUUCGGCCGAUGAAGUAAAGUGGCGCGACGGGUGAGUAAUGCGUGGAUAAUCUGCCCUUUAGUUGGGAAUAACGUACCGAAAGGUGCGACUAAUACCUGAUAAUACUGCAUAACUACUGUUGUGUAGUCAAAGAAGGCCUCUGUUUACAAGCUUUUGCUGAAGGAUGAGUCCGCGUACCAUUAGCUGGUUGGUGGGGUAAUGGCCUACCAAGGCUACGAUGGUUAGCUGGUCUGAGAGGAUGAUCAGCCACACUGGAACUGAGACACGGUCCAGACUCCUACGGGAGGCAGCAGUGAGGAAUAUUGCGCAAUGGGGGCAACCCUGACGCAGCAACGCCGCGUGAGUGAGGAAGGUUUUCGGACCGUAAAGCUCUGUCGAGCGGGAAGAAAUGUAUCAUGGCUAAUAUCCAUGAUACUUGACGGUACCGCUAAAGGAAGCACCGGCUAACUCCGUG
rnacentral:rRNA from 1 species